GAAUACGGAGGCGGAAUUUUUCGGAAGGAAGCCUUUGUGUUUUAGCGGCGGACGGGUGAGUAACGCGUGGAUAACCUGCCCCAUACCGGGGGAUAACAGUUAGAAAUGACUGCUAAUACCGCAUAAGCGCACGGAGCCGCAUGGCGCAAUGUGAAAAACUCCGGUGGUAUGGGAUGGAUCCGCGUCUGAUUAGCUAGUUGGCGGGGUAACGGCCCACCAAGGCAGCGAUCAGUAGCCGACCUGAGAGGGUGGCCGGCCACAUUGGGACUGAGACACGGCCCAAACUCCUACGGGAGGCAGCAGUGGGGAAUAUUGCACAAUGGGGGAAACCCUGAUGCAGCAACGCCGCGUGAGUGAAGAAGUAUUUCGGUAUGUAAAGCUCUAUCAGCAGGGAAGAAGAAAGACGGUACCUGACUAAGAAGCCCCGGCUAACUACGUGCCAGCAGCCGCGGUAAUACGUAGGGGGCGAGCGUUAUCCGGAUUUACUGGGUGUAAAGGGAGCGUAGACGGUUUUUCAAGUCUGAAGUGAAAGCCCGCGGCUCAACUGCGGAACGGCUUUGGAAACUGAGGGACUAGAGUGCUGGAGGGGCAGGCGGAAUUCCUGGUGUAGCGGUGAAAUGCGUAGAUAUCAGGAGGAACACCGGUGGCGAAGGCGGCCUGCUGGACAGUAACUGACGUUGAGGCUCGAAAGCGUGGGGAGCAAACAGGAUUAGAUACCCUGGUAGUCCACGCGGUAAACGAUGAAUGCUAGGUGUCGGUGAGCAAAGCUCAUCGGUGC
rnacentral:rRNA from 1 species